UGCCUAUACAUUUUCUCCACGUCAGCUAC
rnacentral:sRNA from 1 species